AUUUUUACCACACACAGAAGUGACUGAGCGUUGGUUCUCUGAAUUUGUCUUUUGAAAAUUAGAUGGAACAUCGCUUAAUGAGGGAGUUCAAAAUUCUGUGGGUUAAGGGGAUCUACAGUGACCAUGGGCUGCAGCUACACGUAUAAUUCAACUAAUUCCACAGUUCAAAGAGCUUUUUGGAGUAAAAGGCUGGUUACAGAUAUACAGCCUCUUGAUCUGUCUUCAGACCAAAAGUACAGACUCAGGGUUCAGUAUUUCAGAGAAAAACCACAUGAUUGCAGCCUCAGACUGAAGGAUGUUACACAAGAGGACCAGGGGAAAUAUUACUGUGUUAAAAACGUCAGAAUGGUUUCAAAACAAAGGAGUUUGUCUUUCAGUCACAGACGGUUCACCUGAGUCCUCCUGAUGACAUGUACACAGCUAUGGAUUCUUAGUCCAUCUCUCCUGAUUAUGACACUUUAAAAACUGCAAGAAAGCAACAGUGAGAUCGUCAACUUCGACAGCAUGUUGAGCGAGAGAGAGAGAGAGAGAGAGAGUGAGAGAGAGAGAGAUGCUAGAAUAGUUCUGUAUUUGAGCUGUGGAUCAAUAUUGAACAUUUAUGAACAACAUAAUGUAUGUAACUCCAUGUGUACUGUACAACUUUAUUCUUUUUUUAAUUAUUAGAAUUUAAUAUUUUUAUCUGCUAAAGUAACGCACUGUACUCAUGCUUUAUUCUUUAAAUUAAUCUUUCUCUGGAUGAAUAAAGUUAUCUAUUUAGUUCUAUCUAUCUAUCUAUCUAUCUAUCUAUC